UAAAGCUUUUCUGACCUAUGAGUUUUAUUAUCAUCAGAUUUUCUUUAUUUCAAAUUAAAAAUAAUUUUCAAACAAAUUUUAAGUCUGACAUACAGCAACAUUGUGAUAAAUCUUCAAUAAAAAGUGGAAAUAGGAAAUUAACAACUGUGUUUCAAAAUUAUAUCUAUAUAAAAAACAGUGAUGAAUAUUACUUUAGCAAAGAGGAAAGGGUUGUAUUAAAUGCCAUGCCUUCCUUACAGAAGUGUUGCUGGAAAAAUACUUUAGAAAGAAUUAUAAAUAAAACUAUGAACUAGAUUUAUUUUAAUAUGUAAAAACUAUAUAUGAGAAAUGAAAACAUUGCAGAAUGUUUAUAUCAAUGAACAAACAAGCCAUAACAGCAUCUAUAUGGGAGAGCAGUUAUGCUUGGUCAUAAACAAUUAUCUUGCCUUUCUAAAACCUUUCCCUAUCAUUGUACUUAUCUAACUCUAUUCAGAUACACCAUAUAGACUAAAAAUAUAGUAAAAUCAAAUAAUUAUUGGAUGAAAAAUAUAACUGAUUUUACAAUUC
rnacentral:lncRNA from 1 species